CGCUGAGCCAAAGCCAUCCAACUGACCCACAAUUUUCACUGCAUCCGGAAAAGGUCAUAUCCUCCGAUCGUAGCUGAUCGUAACCAUUCAAGUUAACGUGUCAAUUUACACCGACUUCUUUCCGUUCCUCUGCGGAGACGAACAAGUGAAAGGUUUUUAGACGUCAUUUCACCCCGAUGACACCAUGGAUGAGGAGAUGCUGAUUCUAGAAGUCUAGAAUUAGAUUUCCUCCUCUGGAAGGACACAAUCUACUGCUUAUAUGUCUAUGUGGCUGUCUUUAUAGAGACAACUCGUUAUCACACGAUUGCACGUGAAUCUGUGGAUUCUUGUGAGUUCUCACGAUUCCUGUUGUCUGUAAUCCGCCAUGAAAUUUGCCUCACAAACCGAUCCAGUGGGAAAUGGCAUAUGGCGAAAAUCGCAGCCGUUCCAGAUCGGAGUCAUUCUGGAUGCGGUGAAAAUUGCGGGUAAGGGGGGUCCCUCUAGUGGACAGAACAGACCAUCCUCACUCCGACAUCUUUGUACAAGUAGAAGGCAAACCAUUCGAGAUGGGUUCCUCUCAUUUUUGCAGGUUUUCUCUCGCUUGCGUCCACACAGGAACUGGAACUUAGACUGAGUCUACAGGUGGUCCUACCUGCCACAUCAUAGUCCCUGUUUCUGCAGCCUGUCACUGUGCAACCAGUCCACUGGCAAAAAGGUGGUGAUAAGGUGGACAAACAGCUACAGUUCCCCAAAUUAUGCAAAUGUAUGCUUCACUCUGAACCCUGGCCUCCAGCAGAGCCAAGUUUAGCCGAGCUGAAACCUUUUCACUUCAGUCACUGCGUCUGCAGUUUGGAAGUCUGGUCUUAGACUCUCUGGUAUCAAAAUGAAAGAGUUAAAAAAAAGGGUUCUUGCUCAGUGUGUGGGACCAAAGAAAUGAGCUUUAGAGGCCAAACAGUGAAGGUGUUUGUAUCUGCAGUAAAAACGGUCUUCUUGUCACUGGUGUUGUCAUGGAUUCCUGGUCUUUUAGGGACAGGCUGGCUUCAGUUUUCAACACGGCCCACAGUAAUCCUCAUGCAGGUAACUGGCUCUAUACUUAUCCUGUUGGUUUGUCUUCCUGUUCAUUUUCCUGACACUGUCUCCACUUGUGGUAGUUUGGUGAACAGCUGGUCCAGGGGUAGAGGGGCUGCUCUGCAGGAAGCUGACCUGGGUCCAGUCCUUUUCUCUCCUCCUCUUCUUCUUCUUAUUUAUUUACUUUCUGGUUGUCUCUCGGCUCCUUGCUGCCACUACUGUGCACUUGUGUUUGUUCUGCAGUGUGUGGUUGAGCCUCUGGCUUAUGCAACAAUCACCCUUGGGAGUGGAGGUGUCCACUCCCCAGAUCGAAGCUCCAGUUUUGGCUCACACAGAUCUAUCUUUGGCUUUACGGGGGUCCGUGCUGUUUGGGCCGGUCUAAGGACUCUGUUGGCUCCAUAUGAGUCCAUACGUAGUUGUCUCUUUAAAGACUAUAUUGGCUUCACUUUAGAGUGGGAGGAGCUGACAGAAUAACUACAAUCCGUUGCUGCUGCCACACACAGAAUGAAGGUGGAUCGGUUGAAGUUGCGAUAAAUUGUUGAGAUCGCAACUUUCUGGAGGAUUUGACCUCCACUCGGUCUGCAAAUGGAAACUGAAACCAGAAAAAAACCUGGUCCCUGACCUGCAGAUUCUGCCUGCACACAGACCGGGAUUUCUGUGGAUGGAGGAAAAGUUCUCUAAAGUUAGCAUUGGUGUGAUCAAAUCUGAAUCAGGAGUCAGGAUGGAGGCCCAGCAGACAGACAUACCGGAUGGAUGGAGCUGGAUGUUCAGAGACUUCAUGUUCAUCUGUCUGACUCACCGUUUAGGAGGAACUCUGUGGAUGAACCUACAGCCUCAUUUAGAGGAGAGGACACUCAGCUCUCAGUUUAUGAUUAAUGCAGAUGAGAAAGUGUAUUUUUAAAUCUAUCAGAGACUCCAGUUUGUGCCUUUUUAAGGACAUGAAACCAUGAAAAGUCAUAAAACUGUUUCUAUUUGAUGCACAAGAAUCCAUGUUUAUAAGAGCGCCAUCUAUUUCAGCUGUGAGUAAGCUUUUCAGAUGAACUGUGAGCUCAGAGUCAGGACGGUCAGUGACUAACGGAAAGUCAACAAACACUGUCAAAUACUGGAACAGGAUUACAUGAAAGGGGAUCAGGGUCAUGGAGAGUCACCUUCUCAUGAAUUUACAGGAUCUGUGUGAUUUUUUUAUGAUGCUAAGUGAAGUUAUUCACCAUCGCUCCGACUCUGUUUACAUUCCACUUAUUUUAUUUACACUCAGACCCAUCUAAGAUGAACAAGUGGUUUUUUUUCAACUUCUCAAACACAGCACACUUUUAUUUAUUUACACGAGAGGGGAGCACGUAUGAAUUAAUGACAAUAAAAACCCUGUUGUGUACUCUGAGAGUGAAAACAUUGCACAUUAAAAAGCAGGUUGUGUCAGCGGUGACAUUAGACAACAUGAUUUAUUAAAGACCAAGUGACGAUGAGUCGAAGAGCCCGAGGCUGAAGCUGUUAGCAGUGAGACACAGCGUUUCUGAAACGUUCAAAACAUUGUCAAACAUGUAAACAAGUCUCUUCAGAUAAUCACCAAAAACAGAGUACUGCUGUUUCUGAACUCCAGGUCAAAGAAGUUUCAAGUUAUAAUGUAAUAAAAGUAAUGAGGGUGAUGUUAGAGGUUUAGACUUCACUGAGACCUCCGAUACUCAACAUUAACUCUAAACACAGACACGAAACUUCAGCUCAAAGAAAGAACAAACCUCACAGCUGAUCGUCUGUUUGCAGGAAAGGAUAUGAGGAGGCGUCAGAGCAAGAGUAAGACCAGUUCAGAAGUCCUAAACAAUAGGGCUGGGCGAUAAAACGAUAAUGAUAUACAUCGAUUGUAGAGGCAAUGUCCUAAACACUUGCCUCUACUGAUUGCUGAGUAAAAGAAAAGAACUAACUUCUGACGUGUGGUGUGAAAUAAACUGAUGUCCAAAAAUGUGUCCAGAAUUGAAACAAACGGUAGUUUAUUCUCACAUCUUCUUUUCCUCUUAAGCACAGGAACAAAUAGAAUAAAGAAAAAUGGUUAAUUCCACGAACACCAGUCCACACUCCAACAGUCAAAAGACUGUUUGUCUCUCCCAAUCAGCAACACCUGCCACUGAUUACCACCCUACUCAAGUAACCUGGCCACCAUGACCCUUGAACCUGGGCGUGGCUUGAGAGUGAUGUCACAGCGUGGGGAAAAUUAAGAAAAUCAUAAUAUGGCUCUUACAUCGAUAAUUAAUUUCCCUCAAUAUCAAUAUAAAACAUGGUCAAUAUGCUUUUCAGUAGUCGUCAUUCUGACAUGUUUUGGUCGACUAUAAGAAUAGCCAAUGAAAAGGGGAGUUUCUGCGGGUCUGAACCAAUUAUGUUCUGAAUUAGAACCAAGUAUCAACCAACUGCAGCGUCGUAGCAGACAGCAGCUCCACCCAACCAUAGCACUUUAACAGGUGAAGCCGACAGCACUGUUGGUGAGAAACAAAGAAAAUGAGUGCUACCCCCGACAGAAAUGACCAUGAAGGCUCAACAGAUGACCACAUCAAUGUCAACCACAACACUGGCGUUAGGAAAACGUCGGUGGUGUGGAGGUAUUUUGGUUUUUGGAGGUCGGACAUGAAGCAGAGUAAUGUGGACUGUAAAUUAUGUCGAGUACAUGUUCUCACAAAGUCGGGGAAUACCUCAAAUCUUUUUCACCACCUGAAGCAGCGCGACGCCGCAGAGCACGCGCAACGCAAAAGGUUACAAACCCCGAGAGGAGCGAGGAGCCGAAACAGACGACCAUUCAGUCGGCUUUCUCUAAAGCGACGCCUUACGACAAAACGACAAAACGCCAAAGAGACACAAAGACCUCACAGAUGCAGGAGAUUAUUGUGUUGGAAAAGACAUGAGACCAAGAAACACUGUUAGAUUUUUAGAUCCUGAUAUUGAUCGAUAUCAGCUGAUAUGAAAAAAAUAUAUAUUGAUAAACUUUUUCCCAUAUCGCCCAACACUAAUUCAGAGUUAUUCCACCGAAUAUGCCCCUGUCUCAGCUUCUCUGUAAAAAGUAGUAAUCUGGUUUCCUGUUCAUCUGUCUGUGGAGAGUCUCAGUUUCUCUGUUAAAAGUCCUUCAGAGGUUUCACUCCGGCCUACUUCACGGUUAUGAACCUGAAAAAGAAACUGAUUCAUUUGUACUUAACGGAUCUUUAGUUUGCUGUAAUAACAAAGUUGAACUUCGGUCCGGUCAUUAUCAUGGAUUAUGUUCUGCCUGCUUUUGCUAUCCAUAUGAGCUGUUUUUGUCAGGCUGCUGACACCUGAUUGUUCAAUAUUGGACUUUAAAAGAAUUUUGAACUGAAACCAGAACAGUUCUUAAACUCCAAAUAGAGUUGCUGGUUUUCCCGGGGAAGCUCUGGUCCGGCCACAGUCUAACCGCCCACCUUGGUGGCGGUGCAGAGCAGUAAUAAAGCUCGACACUCACCAUGACUCUGCAGGACGGUUCAUACGCACUAACUGAUAUUUGCAGCGAGCCUGUCCUGUGUCACGGCGCUCCAUCAUUGUAAUUAUCGUUAUCAGAGUCAUGUGCAUGAGCGAGUUUAUCCCCUCGGCUCUGACGCAGUUCUCAGUAACAGCUCUUGUUAGUGGAGAACGAGAAGUGUUGAGAAACCUCUGACCGCAGCGUAUAUUUAGGCCAAACCGCCGUAUGCAGUCUGUCCAAACAUGACAAGGAAGAAGGGGAAUUAUGUGAGAAACAGGGCGGGUGGAGAAGGGAAAGACAAACUGUAGUUAGGAAACCAUGAGUAGAAUGAUGUGGUUUCACAGCUGGGAAACUCAGACGCAGUGCAAACACAAAACCUACUUCUUUCUCUCCCUGAUUAAAGGAAAGAAAAGCCCAGAGGCAGAAGGUCACAGGUUAGAUCCCAACAUCCAGCUAUUGUCCUGUUUCUCCAAAGCUUCUCCAGAUUUCAUCUCCAAACUGUCACCGUUUCACAAGACGUGGGAGACGUGACGUUAUCAAAGGAGACGUUGUGGAGUAAAAACAUCUUCAGCUCAAAAGCAGCUCUGCCUGAGAUUGUGGCCUGAAUCUGUAAAAAGGAGUAUCUGUGAUUGUCGCUCUGAUUUCCUUUAAACAUUCACAAACUUUACUUUUUCUGACUUCCCCUUGAAAUACCUCCUCCCCCGAGAAGAGGGCCGAGUUCAAACAGGAGAGAAAACUUUCAAAGGCGUGUAGAGCAGUGACGCACUACAGGUUUCCCUCAUCACUUCUUCUUCUUCUGUUCUUCGCACACACACACACACACACACACACACACACACACAGAGCGAUGACUCACUGCAGGUACGGUCCACCUGUCUCUGUGAUCUCGCCUGGCAUCGAUCGCCCAUCUUCACCUGUCAUCUGCUGCUCUCUCUCUUUUCUCUUCCUCUCUGUUGUCUCUGCUCAUUUGUCCACUGACCUUUCUCUCCUCUCUCCGCCUUCUCCUCCUUCGGUUUCCCACUCUUCUUCAUAUUUCUGUCCCUAACUUUUUCAUUGUCUUUUUUCAACUUCUCCUCAUGGUUUCAUCUGUUUCUAUAACCGUCUGCAGCCUAAAGCAGGUCGUUAACAGCUCACUAACUCAAAGGCUGAAAAUACCUCCGUCCUUCAUUCGUCCCGAUAGGACCCGAAAUAUUUCUGCUCCUCUUCCAGCAAAAAAUGACGUUUUCAGAUCAAUGUUAAUAUUGCAGCAGAGUAAAUGCAUGUGAAUGAACAACCAUUCAUUCAUUCACCUCUAUACCACUUAUCCCUUUCGGGGUCGUGGGUCGGCUGGAGCCUAUCCCAGCUGUCAUUGGGCGAGAGGCGGGGUACACCCUGAAUCAGUUGCCACUCAACAGCAGGGCCACACUCACACUCAUACCUAAGGACAAUUUUAGAGUCAACAACUGACCUAAUGAGCCUGUUUUUGGUCUGUGGAAGGACGCCAGAGUGCCCGGAGAAAACCCACGCAUGCACGGGAAGAACAUGCAGACUUCACACAGAAAGGCCCUGCCCAACCCAGGGAUUGCACCAGUGACCUUCUUGCUGUGAGGCAAGGGUACUACUUGCUGCGCCACCAUGCCAUCAGAGGAACAACCAAACAGGUCAGAAGUUCUUAGAGAGGAACAACCAAAGAGUGGCUCAUCACUCUGUGAGAGACUGCGAGUGCUAACUGUUCAACAGUUCCAGAAAAAAGUUCCUUGAGUGGAUUCCAUCGUCUACGGAACAUCAGAUCAUUUAGAGAUUCAGAGGAUCUUAAGAAAUCUCUGUACUGAAGGGACCAGGACCAGGACCAGGACUUGAUGGUCCUGGUCUUCAGGGCUUUAAAAAGAGACAGGACUUGGGAGUGGAAAUCAGAUAAAACCAUGAUCCAGAAACCCUUUAGGAAAACCGUCCCGUGGUGCAGUAAAUGAAGAUCUGACCUUUUUCUUGAACUGAUGUUGAUAAUCACUCUACAGAGCAGAAGGACCACAGGUUUUUCAGUUACAUCACUUUACAAUGAGAGUAUACUUGGAUAAAAUAAUUAAGUUUUCCAUCUUAACAUCUGAGUUUGGAUAUGAAGUUUAAAUCAUCUGAAAACCAGCUGUCUUCUUUGUCCUCAUCUUCUCUGGCCUUCACUUUCACACCGUCACUGAUCGUCUCCUUUCCUGUCAUUCUUUCUCUUUUCUCUCCAGAACCUUCUCGUCUACUUUAUUCUUCUCUCCUCAUUUCCUCUCCUCGCUCUCUCAUCAUUCAUCUCCUCUUUCCUCACCUCUCGUUCACACGUCUCCGCAGAUGAGACGGUGAGCAGCCCUUCAGAUCUCUUUACGUUCCUGACGCUCUUUCUGUCGUCUCAGUGCUUUCGCUUUACUCACUUUGUGAAUCAUCUCUCUCCUGUGUGUGUGUGUGUGUGUGUGUGUGUGUGUGUGUGUGUGUGUGUGUGUGUGUGUGUGUGUGUGUGUGUGUGUGUGUGUGUUAAUGUUGACUCUGUAUUUUCUGCAGAGUGUUUUAUGUAACUGGUCUCACACACACAGAGUAAGCCCAGGUGUCGGUCGUGUCUAUGAGGAGUUGGAGGUUCAGGACUUGAGGGUUCAAAGCUCGGUAGUUGAUCUCUGGCUCAGAGGGUGAUGAUGUUACGCUCACACACAUCCGGGUCUUACUGAGCCCCCGACUCUUUGAAGCAGACAGACACAGAAAGUUUAGUCAGCGCUGAUUGUCCUCCUUAAAAAAGUUUACUUGAAUCAGACUUCGGGGACUUUCUCAUGUUUGUUUUGCAGCAGAAAAAAAAGACCAUAUUUCUCACGCUGAUGGUUUUGGAGAGCGCACUUUAACGAGCGAUUUCUCAUCUGAGUAAGAGCAUCAGCAUUUCCUUUAACCCUUCAUGGCUCUGAAGGAAACGAGUCCUCUUGACCAACUCUAAAAACUUCUCCCCUGAGUUCACCUGAAUCAGUUUUUCAGCUUCUGUAUAAACCUGAUGUCUGGUUUCAGUCUGAGAUUGUUGUACUCUGUUUAUAGCACAUUUGUGGUCCAGGUCCUAUUGACCAAUCAGAUGGCAGCAGCUUAAUCAUUUUUUUACUUUAUACACAUCUGCAUCAAAAUUUUGUAAUUAUGGUGAACUUUAGACGCCCCAAUUACAAGAAAAUUCCAGAAAAGUAAAAUUCUUUUCAUUUUUAGGUUCAUAAAGCUGCCAGAGCGAAGCUGCUGUCUACUGUGAAACUGAGACUCACCACGAAUGGUCGAACAGAGAGCGAGAGAAACCCUCUGUGUAACUAAUUACAGUGAAACUGAGUCUGGACCAAAACAGAUGAUUAAAAGUUGGAGUAACCCGAGAUUUCAACUGCAUCUGGAACAGCUCUGAUCCAGAACGGCAGUGAUUUUCCCCAUACGCCAAUUCCUCCGCAAAUUUCGUGGCAGAUUAUGGACAGCAGGAAUCGCGAGAACUCACAAGAACCCACAGAUUCACGUUCAAUCGCGCGAUAACGAGUUGUCUCUCUAGAGACAGACACAUAGACAUAUCAGCAGUAGAUUGUGUCCUUCCAGAGGAGGAAAUCUACUUCUAGACUUCUAGAAUCAGCAUCUCCUCAUCCAUGGUGUCAUCGGGGUGAAAUGACGUCUAAAAACCUUUCGCUUGUUGGUCUCCGCCCGUUUGCAUGGUGUGAAAUACGAUCCUCCUGAAACACGGAGUGUUUUGUUUUGAAAAGAAGCCGGAUGUUUUAUUUUGUGUCCGUGCCCGACUUCCUUUCCAGCACGGUUUCAAUUUAUCCGCCAUGCUCCGGUGUCCGGAAUAAAUAGAACUCUUGUGAUCAGCUGAGGAGUCCGGCGAUCGGCAGAGGAACGGAAAGAAGCUGGUGGAAAUUGACACGUUAACUUGAAUAGUUACGAUCAGCUACGAUCGGAGGAUAUAACCUUUUCGUAACCGUUCUGGAUACGGUGGAAAUUGGGGGUAAGACUCAAACACCGCCCCUAAAAAAGGAAGGCUCCGCCCACCAUGACCCAGGAGACGAUGUCAGGUGGAGAACAGAGAGUCUACCAGGGUUAUUGCUGCAUUGUCUCUGUUUGUGAAGGUGUUAUUUUCACCUUGAGGCCUUGGCUGUGAUUACACUGAUGAUUUCUAAACUCUCUUAUUCUGAGAAACUGACACCAGACCUGGAGCUUCUGUCUAAUCAUCCAUUACUGAGAAAACCAAAGGUUACAACAGGUGGAGAAUAUUCUCCAACAGAGGAGAGUAAACACUCGGCAGAGAGCGGACAAGAAAUGUGUGGGUAUCUAAAACAGACCUGACCCGAGCUGACUCCAGGUGUGUGCUGUGUGUCCAAACAUCUGCUUUAAGCUCCUAAUCCCCCUAAUCAUCUGAGCUCAGCCCUCUGGGUGGACCCGCAUACUUUUUUAAAUAGUUUCAGUCUGAGAUAAAACGCAGGCGGAGCUUGUCGAGGACAGAGCCGAGGGCUGCGAGGAUUCAUUUCAAUAAACUAAAUCAGACACUUUAGAUGAAAUGUUGUCAUCUAGCUGUUUGUCUUCAGUGACCACAGACCACACCUCUACUUUUUAAUCUGAGAAACAUGUCCGACCUCAAAGCUGCUCACCAGAAACCCACAGGCUCUGCAGACGAACGCCUGACGUCAGAGGUGGUUAAAGGCAAUAUCGUUGUUUUUAAUUCGGAGCACAUUUUUAACACGUUUGGGGUCUGAAAGAGCUAAUUAAUAUGAGAAAGGUUAAAUUACUUUAGCUGACAGCUGUGAAACAGGCUGGACUGAGUGCAGACUAAUCCUGAGUAAUGAAAACGCCGCGUCAACACCAAGUCCUUUAAAAGUGCUUGUUUCUCAGACUGGUGUUUAAAGAGAAAGACACAUUUCAUCCGCAGACUACUACAAACACACACAUUUAACGCCACAGGAAGCAGGAUGACUGAUUUUGAAGAACAAAUCAAACUUCAAAGUACAGGUAUGAGGGAUGUUGGGUACUGAGCAGGUUUUCCCUGACCCUCUGUACGAACCUGCUGUCUUCUCCUAAUUCUAACCCUGCUACACUGGCGGCCAACAUGGCUACCCUGAACCCCGGGGUACAGAAUCUGAACGACACUAAAAUGAUCCGGUCAGCAGCUCACGGUCGGUGAGAGGUCGAGCAGACGGCUUAUAUAAAUGAGGAUUUAACCGUAACCUGAGUCUCCAUUGUUUCCUCUAAUUGCUGCUCUGCACAAACAAUGUUUACUGGAAAGUCCAAAAUUUGACCAACGUUUGGUUUUCCUGUUUAAUUUUGAUUCUAUUUUUACGCUGAAGACAUCCAUCAGAAAGUGGCGCAAACACAUCUGCUCCGUGUUCACGGUAAAAAAAAUCUUUUUACUGACAGUUACUUUACUUUCACUCUCCUCCGACACUUUAGUUUACUCCUUAUUUCCUCUGAAACACCCUCACUCAUGUCGGCAUACGCUGAAUUAUUCACCCACAGACGUAAUUUCAGAAGUGUUUAUGUAAUAUGAUGUAUUUUUGAUUACUAACUGAUGACUUUACGUAACACAAACUCUUUUUGUUCUUCUUCAGCAGUUUGUUUACGUGGGUAGAAGUUCAUCUGUAACAGAGCAUUAAGAGGAUAAAUACAAAGUGUUUAGAGCUCCACCUCGACGCAUUUAUAACAAUAACUGAUUAUAUCUGAUUUUUGUUGAGCUGUGUGCCGACAGGAUGCAGCUCUCUUAUUGUGGUCCUAAACACCUGCAGAAAUACUUUUCUGAAUACUGUUCAGAAAUACUUUGAUUUGUUCAGACUUUUACUCUUGACAACUUUCUUUUUGGUCUUGCAUACUUUGAAUUCACACAUCUCUCUUUCAAGCAUACUGUUCCAGCAUACUUCACUGACAUUCAUACAAACUUUCCUCUUAUUACAUAUUUUACCUUAAUUUAACACAUUUGUUCCCUUUGUUCUUGUUCCAGUGUAAUUUACACUCUAUCCAGCAUAUUUUCAUUACUCUAAUGUAUCUUAAAUACAACAACCUCUUAUAUGAGGAUACUUUAGUCUUCUUUUAUCAUAAUUAACUUGUGUUUAAGCAAUUUUUGUUCAGGCUUUAGAAAACCAAAACUGUGUGCUGGCAUUCUUUACUCCUGAUCUGGCAAAACAUUAUUCUCUCAAACUUUACUUUGAAAAACUUUUCUGAAGUUCUAGGAAACUUUACUGAUACUCUAGUAAACUUGACUGUACCUAUAAAUAACUUUACUCAUACUCUAGUAAACUUUAUUCUUGUAAACUUUACUCGAGUAAACCUCAAAUUUACUCUUGUAAACUUUACUAGAGUGAACUUUACUCUAACUUUAAUAAACUUUUCUUUAACUCUAGUUAACUUUACUAGAGUAAACUUUACUCUAACUUUAAUAAACUUUUCUUGAACUCUAGUAAACUUUACUCUUGCUCCAGUAAAUUUACUCUUGUAAAAUGUCCACAAGUAGACUUUACUCUAACUGAAGUAAAUUUGACUAACUCUGGUAAACUUUACUCUAACUCUAGUAGACUUUUCUCUAACUUAAGUAAACUUUACUCAUAAUCUAGUAAACUUUACCCUGGUAAACUUGACUCUAAUUCUUGUCAACUUUACCCUUACCCUAGUAAGCUUUACUCUAACUCUUACUCUAGUAAACUUUAUUGUAAUAAACUCUAUAUCUGGCAUACUGUGCUCUUUGUACUUUUUCUUUUUUGUUAUCUUCAUCUGCAUUUUUGAGGUUUUCCUGUCAGUGCAAAAGAAACAAAGUGUGGAAAAUGGGAGGAUGACCAAGGCUUUCUUGUCGAUGAGAAGACAGGUGAACAGAAACAUCUGUCUCUAAAUGUGUGUGUGUGUGUGUGUGUGUGUGUGUGUGUCAGACCUCCCUCUGACCACAACAAAGUGGAGCUUUAAUCCUGUUUCUUUGAUGACUCUGUGCAGAUCAAACACGAUACAGCGGCUACACGAUGGAUCACACUUUUACUGACACUGAGCCGUUACUCUGAGUCUGUGUGUGUGUGUGUGUGUGUGUGUGGGUGUGUGCGUGUGGGUGUGUGUGGGUGUUGGGGUUAUAUUGGGACAAACUGGAGAAUAAUAGUUAAACAAAUAAUGAACAACUUUUGAAAAAAUAAGUGAUACUAAAGGUGGAUGGAACAGGUUUGUGGUUUUUCAUUUUAAAGGGAUAUUUCACUGUUUUUUUUCACCAGGUAAACAGGCUGUAAUGUCUGUAACACCGACCCAGAUGGAUUAAAGUAAGUCAUGAACGGCUGUUGUUCUUGCUUUCUUGUUUUUAAACUGUUUAGUUCUGGUUUUAAAAUGGUGUCUUUUCACAUCACGGCUCGUGAACACACAGGAGAGAAAAUUUACACAACAGAAACUGAAAACUGACUUUUGUUUUAGUCUCUAUCUUGUUUUGGGAUACAACCGCCUAAAUUAAGACCUGAAUCUAUUGUGAUGUCUGAUAAAACUGUCCAUCAUGUCCGAACAAAAGUUUCUUGUAAUAAAAGUGAUGUUCCCUAAAAGUAAAAUAAUUUUUUUUUUAACCAUAUUAAUUGAUUUUUUUUCUGCUCAUUACAAACGACUCAGGUUUAUAAAAAUCUGACUUUUUCUGCCAGAAAUCAAACAAAGGUUACUCACACACACACACGCACAAACACACACACUGUGCUGUUCAGCCCUGCUGGCUCCAUCACCAUCACCCCUCUGUUCCAGCCUCUGAGGGCGGAUCAGGGGUACCCACCAUUAUACCUCUAUGUCCUCCAUACUGCAGAUGAAGGCGCUGAAAGUCCCGCCUCUAAAUAGCGGUAAACGAGCCAACAGGCUGAUACUCUACAUCAAAUGAUGCGACCAGAACUCUCGCUCCGCACAUGCUCAGAGCUGUUUGGAGGCAUGUUUUGAAAGGAUGCGCUCUUUGGCAGAACACAGGUGUGAGUGAGGAGCAGCUGAGAGGCGGUGAAGCUGCUUCAGACUCUUUCAUGUGAUACUCGGAGUGUGUUCAGUUACAGGAAGGCGCUUCUAAAAAGUUAGGAGAGCUCUGAAAGUUUGUUGGAAAGAAAAAACUCAUUUCGCAGCUUCAAAGGAGGCGAGACAAAGCCAAGAGUGUCUGAUUUACAUGUGAAACCCAAUCUGAAAUACAGGCUGCAUGUUUCCUGACUUCCUCCAUCCUUUGUGGUUUGUAAAAGUGUGUGUGUGAGUCUCUAUCAUCCUGUGUGUGUGUGUGUGUGUGUGUGUGUGUGUGUGUGUGUGUGUGAUGGAAAGCCGCAGUGACUGAACUACCAGUCAGGAGCCUUUGAAGAACUCUGAUCACACAUUGAAUAGUUUAACACAGAUGUUGAGAACAUACACAUGAGGUCAUUAGGUCACACACACACACACACACACACACACACACACCUGGUCUUACAUCAUUCUGCGACCACAACAAGGUGUCGGCUGCAGUCACUUUCUUUAAUGACUCAGCAGAAGAUCAAACACACAUUACCCACAACGAAAUGCUCACACACAUCUGAUAUGAGCUUUGAUGAGUCGGCAAACACACUCACUAACACACACACACACACACACACAACUACACAGAGAGCCCUGCUGUCCAUAAUCCACUACGAAAUUCGCCUCACCAACGGAUCCGGUAGGAAUUGGCAUACCGCGAAAACUGCCGCCGUUCCGGAUCGAAGUCGUUCCGGAUGCAGUUGAAAUCCCGGGUUACUCCGAGUUUCAAUCAUCUGUUUUGGUCUAGACUCAGUUUCGCUGUAAAUAGUUACACAAAGGCUUUCUCUCGUUCUCUGUUUGCCCAUUUGUGGCGAGUCUCAGUUUCACAGUAGACAGCAGCUUCACUCGCACAGCCGUAUGAACCUAAAAAAGUAAAAUCGGAGCUGUUCCUGAUGCGUUGUAAAUCCCAGGUAAAGUGAAACGUCUAAAGUCAGUCCAGUUGUCCUUUCCAUGCAGUUACCUCUCCACAGUCCUGUCUGUUUUUAACAACCUGAGGAUCAGGACCAUCCAGUCCAGUCCUGGUUUUGACCUGUUUGGUUGUUUCUCUAUCAGAACUUUUUACCCGUUUAGUUGUUUCCUCUCGAACAGCUGUCAAAAUAAUAUAUAUUUUUUACUUGAUAUGUUGUCUUUGCCCCUUUUUCAAUCAAACAUUGGCCUCGAAUAGUUUGCACACCAUCAGCCGAGUGCGUUCACUUUUUCAGUGUGGGGGUUGUAAAAAGUGUUUUGGUCUCUGUAUUUUUAGCAGUCCUUUUCACCGCACGACAACUUCAACAUGAAACCAUAAAACAGGCUUACUUCAAUGGCUGCCAUGUUUUCUUUCGUCAACGCUGUGACAUCUUUGGCGUUUUUAUUUUUUUGCCUUUGUGAAUCAGGGUCUCUGAUGUCCCCCACAUUUGAACGGACCGCAGUCACAGAAUAAUGAAGUCUAGAGUAGGUGUGGAUCUUUCAGUGACGUCUGUCGGGAGUUUAAAGACGUCUGAAAAAAAGAAGCUCAGGAGAAAACUUCUGAAUGAAAAAAAGGUCGGCUUUUUCUGGAUCAUCCAGGGGAAUAAGUGAAUGGAUAUUAAACGUGACUCGCACACACACACACAUUUUCUGACGCCCACACACACACACACUCACUAAUCCAGACCAACAGUCACUCUGACAGGCGGGAUGACACCAUCUUUAAAAGGACUUUUCCAUGUUAAUAAUGACCAUAUAAGGAGUUACCACACAUCCAGGAAGUGUGUGUGUGUUUGGUUGUGUUUGUGUGUAAGAGGGCUGCCCCAGUGUGUAUGUGUUUUUGUGUGUUUUUUUCCAACACCUGUAAAAUCUCCAGCAGUGAUUAGUCAGCACUGAACGCCCAGCGCGCUGUGUGUGUGUGUGUGUGUGUGUGUGGCAGCAGUGGUUGCCACAGUAAACACACAAUGGCAGGGGAUGAUUCAGCACAUAAUGGUGGGCUGCUGCACUAUAACACACACACACAUGCACAAACAUAAACACACUCUCAUUACUAAUGCACUCAAACGUCACACACCUACACUGGAAAACACACCUCUACACCACCUCUGAGACACUAAUGAUGCUACUGUGGUGGCAUCAGCCGGCUGUAACACACACACACACACACACACACACACACACACACACUGCCAGUUUGAACCCCUCUGCCUUCUGCUUGUUUUAACUCAACUGACUGCUGAUGUAUGAGAGGAGCUUUGAGUAAAUCCCGUCAUAAUUAUAUUUACAUGAAUGUUCUUCACUCUCCCUAAAGGACCUCUGAAAUCCUUUAGACUUCAUAAAACCGACCUAUUAGGUAUAAAAGACCUCAGAAAAACCACCAACAUGACACCAAAAACCUCCACGGUGAGCACUAACACCUCCUACAGAGUCCACAGAACUACAGGAGACACAGGACCUCCUCUAUGGACACAGGAACCAACUGUAGACCAAUCAGGCCUCUUGUCCGACCACCUAAACCACCUACAGACCGCCACAGCCCAUUCAGUCGUUACCAGAACCUCCGACCUGAUACACCUGCACCAACACAGGCCCCUCAUCAUCAUCUAAAUCUUGAUUGUGAUUGGUCAAAACCCCCUUAGAUUCCAUCAAACAUGGUUAUGAACUCUGACUAAAAAGACCAACACCAGAGACGAGCAGACCACUCACUUAAAAUCAAAUCCAUCCGCAGAAAGUAGUUCCGGCACAUUUUACUUCUGCUUGUUGACACUGUGGGAAAAAAAACCUGUUUCCAUUAAUGAUGAAUCGGGUAUUUAGGGUCCAAGAGGCAAAGAGUGCAAGAGUCCUUCCUUUCUUUCCUCUCCCCCCUCGUUCCAUCCUUCCUUCCUUCCUCCGUUUGCUUGUUCCUUCCUUCCUUCCUUCACUGGUUGUGUUUGUUACUUCCUUCCUUCCUUCCCUUCUUCCUUCUCUGGUUGUGUCUGUUACUUCCUUGCUUCCUUCCCUUUUCCUUCCUUCCUUCCUCCCUUUGUUUGUUCCUUCCUUUCGUCUUUUCUCUGUUUGUUUGUUCCUUUCUUCUUUUCUUCCUUCCUACCUUUGUUCCUUCCCCUGAUUGUUUACUUCCAUUGUUCCUUCCUUCCUUCCUCUGUUUGUACCUUUCUUUCCUACCUUCCUUCCCUCCUCUUUUUGUUUGUUUCUUUGUUCUUUUCCUCCUUUCUUCCUUCCUACCUUUGUUCCUUCCUUUUUUUAUUUGUUCCUUCCAUUGUUCCUUCCUUCCUGUUUGUUUGUUCCUUCCUUCCUUCCCUCCUUCCUUCCUCUGUUUGUUUGUUACUUUCUUUCUUCCUUCCUACCUUCCUUCCCUCCUCUAUUUGUUUGUUUUUUCCUUCCUUCCUUCCUUCCUUCCCACACACACAUCCUGACAAACAAUUUGACAUUUUCAUUGGUUUUAAAAAAACAAUCAGAAAUGGCUCAACAGCGCCACCUACCAACUUACAUUUUCAAAGAUGAAGCCCGACCACACAGUUUAACUCACCUUCACCAUUUUUGCAGGUAAUGUGGAUCACACCAAGUCCUUCAAAAAUCCCUCUUGCAUCCAGACCUUAAACCCAAGUUUUGACCACUAAAACUUUCCAAUAAGAACCAGAACUUCCCCAAAACUAAAACCUUCGACUUAGUAAAGACGCACAGUCGAGGCUGCUGAUACAGUUGAGCAGAAACUUGCUGAGCUGGCUGUUUUCUUUGAGUUAACUCAUUCAUCUUCGGAGGCAGCAGUGGUGGUAUUAAAACAAAUGUGAUAUUUCUGAAAACCCGAUGAGGAUGGAAGCCGAUUUUUAUUCUGUUUCAUACAGCUGGAUGGUUUAACGGGAGCUUAGACGAGACCACAACACAGAGGGGGGGCGCGUGAUCGGAAAUCUAAUGAAGCUAAUCAACGAUCCAAAAUCAGAGCCUACGCAAUCAGGCCGUUUCCAAAACCACACUCACACACACAUCAUCAUCCUCAUCAUCAUCAGGGAGAGUUUAGGUAUUCAUUCAGACACCGUGGGAAUCUCUGCAGGUAACAAAAAGCUGCUCAUCAUCAGAGCAGAGACUCAUAUUAAAAGCACAACAAUAGCAGCUCAGAGGGGCUGAAUAAUUCGCUCUAAUCACGACAUUUAAAGAGAGGAAGAUGAUAAGGUCAUCGGAGGAGGUUUUACCACAGGAACGAGUACGAAGAUGAAAUCAGCAGAAAUAAGAGAGCAAAGGGCCGUACGAGGCGUCCCCAUGUCUGAGCGCACUGAUAUCAUCAGAUGUUGUCUGUUCCUGAAUUUUCCGAGAGAAAAACUUGAGGAUUUCCUGAUCAGGUCUUAGCUGAGUGCUGGCACAGACCACACAGUCAUCCCCUGGAUCUGGUCCAAGGGGGAGCUACCAGGUUUGGCUUGGUUUUAAAGGUCUGCUGGCUGAGUUGACAUUAAUCUCUGCCUGACUCAGUCACACCAGUCUUGGCCUUCGUGUUGGCUCUGCAUCCUAAAAAUAAACCCUCUGGGAUUCCUGCUCAGCUCUGAGCGCCAUGUGUCGGCUCUGUGGAUAAACGAAGGUUAAAGACGAGUGAGCGGCUGAAUGAAGCAGCGGGAGGAUCUAUGGACGUGAAGCGCAGCAGGGAUUUCCAAAGAUAUGAGCACAUUUUCUGCUUCAUAUCUGCAGGCACUGCCCAGACAGGAAACGGCUGAAUUGGAUUUAAAACCUCAAACAUUUUAUGAGUCCACAAAGUCGGUCUCCAUUUCACGCUCAGUGGAGGAGCUCAAAGUUUCUGUGUCUUCAUGACGUCUCGGUCGGAAAGCAGCAGCUCAGAGAAAACCACAGAGCUCACACACGGCUGCUUUUAACUAGAACACUCGAACCCUUUAGGACCAGAUUUUAAUGAAAUAUUUCCAUGUUGGUGAGCUCUUCUUCUGAAUAUAAGGGUCUCAGAAAACUCUCGAACACCAGCCAAAAGUUAGAUAAGAGGGUCUUUAUGGCAGCGCCUACUUAAUGUCACAACAUACAGAAAAACAAAUAGACUUUCUCCACAUCAGAUAAGCAGGAAUUCAUCCACACAAACAGUCAUUUCUUUGACUUACAUCCAGGUUAUGGUCAUACUGAAAAGAUCAUAGAUCUGAACAAACUCGCUGAGUCAUCUCUGAAUCCGUAUCUAACCGCUGUUUAUCAUCGUCUGACAAUGACGGACUACAUAACCCUGGAAAUACACGCCAACUAGGGUUAGGGCGAUUAAAAAAACAAUAACAAUAUAUAUCACAAAUUAAUUUCCUUCAAUAUCAAUAUAAAACAUGGUCAAUAUGCUUUUCGAUAGUCAUCAUUCGGCCAUGUUUUGGUAGACUAUACGAACAGCCAAUGAAAAGGGGAGUUUCUCCGGGUCUGAACCAAUCAUGUUCUGAAUUAGAACCAAGUAUCAACCAACUGCAGCGUGGUAGCAGACAGCAGCUCCACCCAACCAUAGCACUUUAACAGGUGAAGCCGACAGCACUGUUGGUGAGAAACAAAGAAAAUGAGUGCUACCCCCGACAGAAAUGACCAUGAAGGCUCAACAGAUGACCACAUCAAUGUCAACCACAACACUGGCGUUAGGAAAACGUCGGUGGUGUGGAGGUAUUUUGGUUUUUGGAGGUCGGACAUGAAGCAGAGUAAUGUGGACUGUAAAUUAUGUCGAGUACAUGUUCUCACAAAGUCGGGGAAUACCUCAAAUCUUUUUCACCACCUGAAGCAGCGCCACGCCGCAGAGCACGCGCAACGCCAAAGGUUACGAACCCCGAGAGGAGCGAGGAGCCCAUGGCGCCUGAAACAGACGACCAUUCAGUCGUCUUUCUCUAGAGUGACGCCUUACGACAAAACGCCAAAGAGACACAAAGACCUCACAGAUGCAGGAGAUUAUUGAAAAGACAUGAGACCAAUAAACACUGUUAGAUUUUUAUAUCCUGAUAUUGAUCAAUAUCAGCUGAUAUGAACAAAAAUAUGUUGUGACAAACUGUUUCAUCCGUUUUUUGUUUAGAGAGAAGAUUAAAAAGUUCUGUGUUGUUGUGAUCUUAGAUGACAUAGGAUUAAAAGAGGUCAUGUCUGUGAUCCAGUGUGUCCCCUCCAAAAACUCCUCUGAAGUGGUCCUGCAGCUUUUACACUGAUGAAUAUUGUAGCUCCGAACCCCUCUGCUCCAUACAGCUUCAUUUAAACAUGUUCCCUACCUCACCAUAAAAAGCCUGAUGCAUUAUGUAGUUAAAACGAGCGGGACAUCGUGGUCCUGUGGUUUGACUGUACGUGUACAUACCUCAUUUCCAGAUCAGGCAGAGUGGAGGGGGUCUGUCUGAGAGCUUCUGGUGGACCUGUGGAGGGUUUACAGCAGAGUGCCCGUGGACUUACAAGUAGGAAGAUGUGUGCGUCCUCCUCCUCCUCCUCCUCAGGCUGAACUCCUUCAGUGAAACACAGAGAGGAGAGAUUAAUGAUUAUUUCAGCUCCAGUAACCUGACAUACAGAGACACACCUAAACACAGCGAUGACCUUAUGACCCCCAUCAACCCGGGAUGAUUUUUCCUUUAUUUACCCUUUUUUCAUCAUGCAAUAUAUCCAAAAUAUAUCUAUAUAUCACAGUCAGUGGAAGUCUUAUAGUCUUAUAUAACAGCAUCAGCGUGCAGCAGAUAGACUCACGGGGGUUCAAGAACACCUGAACGUCUUCCAAGAGCUGAAAACCGCUCACAGGAACCAGAAGAAGGACUGAACCAUCGAGGGCCGAUAAGAAACCUCUAAGGUGUCCAGGUAGAGACUGGAACAUCUCCCACGUGUCCAUAAAGAGAUUUAAAAAAGGUGUCUGGUUACUGAGUGAAACAGCUCAAAGGUUUUUCUCGGAGUAGAAGAUAACUCCCAGGUCUCCAGGUCGGGAUAGAAACAUCUCCACAUCAUCCAUACGUCACGAUGACGCUGACGUGUCCAAACAGAGAUUGAAAACAUCUAAACUAAAAGUGAAACUACAACAGGUGUCCAAGUAGAGUACCAGGUGUCGUUCAGACUCCAUCUGCUCAUGUUGAGGUCUUGAUGACCAUCAGGUGUUCCUCUUAGAGGUCCGUUCAGGAUGAUAAAUCGCUGGCAUCAGAGUUCGCUCUUUUCCUGUCACAUGGUGAACCUCUCAACAUCCAAGAGGACUCUCUGCUGUGAACCUGGAGACUAAACCGACCGCCCUUCAUCCAGGAACACAACAGUUGUCAGGUGACCACAGGUGGGCAGCAUCAGACUUUGAGGCGUGAAUGGGACAGAUUUAUUGACUGGCAUGUGUCCAAAGGGACGAUAACCAACUUCCUGGUCAUCACUGAGUUUUUCCUGCAAGCCUGAAAGUUCUUGGCGGCAUUAUGUUUGGUCCGAUGUUGGAAUUUGUUGAGGGGCUGGGGGUCUUUGAAGAAUUAAAAACCCUAAUCCACCUAAAUCUGAGGAAAUAUUUGUGCUUCCUAUCUCACAUCAGAGAAGACAACAAGGGCUGCCGCUGGACCCUCAUGGCUGAAGUUCAUCUCAGUGCAUGGUGUGAACUCAUGUGUCGUCCUGUAAGUGCUGCAGUAUAGAAAAAAAAUCCUACUUACAUAUUUAAAUUCAGCCUACAGCCAGUCACUUAAAGCCUCUUUUUUCUGGGUCUUUGAGCGCUGAGCUCAUCUUCCUUUUACAUUCAGCUUCUCCUCCUUUGCUCUCUCGUCUUUGCUGCAUGUAGGUCGUGUUAAAUGUAAAUGUUCCUCAUGCAUAGCAAAGCAGGCCCUCUCAGGGAUAUAGCACUGAAUGAGAAAUUACAUUAAACACCUUCAGCCGCUUCAAACGUUCACCCCGAGUGUGUGUCUGUGUGCAUGUAUGUGUGUCCUGGUAGGACCCUGCGGAGGCUGCAGCCGCCUCUGGAGCUGAUGUGGACUUGUUGAAGUGGUUCAGUGGUUUUAAUGAAGGAGUGCAGGCGGGCGGGGUCACAUCUGGUCAGGUCACACAGGUACGCCUCGGCACAGGUGUCAGCGCUGCAAAAGAAAGUAAACGAAGCCGACAGAGGAACCGGAGUGAGAUUAAAGGCUCAGAGAGGAGAUGAGCUGCUGCGAUCGCUGAGAGAAACAAACACAACAGAGGAAUUACUGACACCAUGGAGGAGACGUGGACAGUGUUUUAUUUUCCUGAAGAACAAACCUGUUUAUACUGGAGCCAACCUUUAAUCCAGCUGUUUCAGACUCACUUCAAUUAAGAAAACAAACACACGUGGUGUCUAAGCCUCCUCAGUCUCAAACACACAUUACUCACUUUAAAUAUUUGGACCAACCGUUUUGGUUCAUUGUUGAGUUUUCUUCAAACAAAUAAAGUCUCUGUUUACUCCCAGUGGUUCCUCAGUUCUUGUGUGUUUCUACAGCCUCUUUUCAAACAUGCACGUCUGCUACCAUCUAUUAUUGAGAAAAGAAACUGGACCAAACUGGAGCCAAUAGGUUCAGAUUGCAGCUCCCAUGACAGUGGAGUGAACCUCCAGACCCUGUGGAUAUAAAGAGACAUGAUCAGCUUUGAAAAUAACAGCAUUGUACCGUUUUCUGCAGUGUCAACACACACACACACACACACACACACAACUUAACAAAUAAACACAAAUAAGCUGUGUGUCAAUCCAUAACUGAUCUACAUCCAUGGACAGCUGCCAGAAAUUACAGGGAUAUUUUAAAGAAAAAUUUUGGUUAAAUGCCCCAAAAGAAAUAAAAGAAAAUAAAAGAAAUGAAAUAAUUCUUCGAUAACUCUCCCAUUAGUCUAAACACAGAUCCUCUGGAAGGACAGAAAACUUUCUGUUUGCAUCUUUUUCUGAUUCAUGACUGACGAACUCAACAUCAUUAAAUCGAGGAUGUCUGCAGGUUUUGGUCUGUAGCGUGCUGGUUUGGUAUCAGUAUCAUGGAAAGUUGUUCUUCUGAGGGAGAGAGGCCUCACAAAGGUCUCUGGGUAGAAGAUUACACUUUGAUCCCUGUUCUGAACCCUGUAAAGUCAACCAACCAGAAGCUCCAUGGAGCCUCUUCUGACAGAGCGAGCUGAUGGAGUGAGUCAUUACUCCGUCUGUGAGGAGGAGGGAAACAAAACUGGGAUCUGCGUCAAAGUUCCCCCCACGGUGGGUCAGACUGUCAGAGGUGACUUUCUCCUCUGAAUCUCAAUGAGGUUUUUUAUUUUGUCCAUGUGGAGCAGAGGACCUGAGAUGACCACAGGUCUGUUUCUCUGGUCAAUGCACCUGUAGAGACCAGAGCUGAUCCAGGAGGAUCUCACUGUGUUCUCCAAAACUGCUUCAGUUUUUCCUCAUGUUAUAUCUGUUACGUAUGAUAUGCACCAAUUAGUAAUCCUAGGAAUCAAAAUUUUCAUGAGUUAUUGUUUUAUAACAAGCAGCGACUGAGAAAUGAAGCCAAUGCAGAAGUGCUUAACCCCCAGUUUCCACCUUCAUCCUGAUCGUCUCCUAAAAGGUCGUAUCCUCCGAUCGUAGCUGAUCGUAACCAUUCAAGUUAACGUGUCAAUUUACACCGACUUCUUUCCGUUCCUCUGCGGAUCGCCGGACUCCUCAGCUGAUCACAAGAGUUCUAUUUUUUCUGGACGCCGGAGCAUGGCGGAUAAAUUCAGCACAGAUUAACCCGUGCUGGAAAGGAAGUCGGGCACAGACACAAAAUAAAACAUCCGGCUUCUUUUCAAAAUAAAACACUCCGUGUUUCAGGAGGAUCGUAUUUCACACCAUGCAAACGGGCGGAGACGAACAAGUGAAAGGUUUUUAGACGUCAUUUCACCCCGAUGACACCAUGGAUGAGGAGAUGCUGAUUCUAGAAGUCUAGAAGUAGAUUUCCUCCUCUGGAAGGACACAAUCUAC